AUACAUGCAAGUCGAGCGGACGAUUCAAAAGCUUGCUUUUGGAUCGUUAGCGGCGGACGGGUGAGUAACACGUGGGCAACCUGCCCUGUAGACGGGGAUAACACCGAGAAAUCGGUGCUAAUACCGGAUAACACGAAAGGCCGCAUGGUUUUUCGUUGAAAGACGGCGCAAGCUGUCCCUACAGGAUGGGCCCGCGGCGCAUUAGCUAGUUGGUGAGGUAACGGCUCACCAAGGCGACGAUGCGUAGCCGACCUGAGAGGGUGAUCGGCCACACUGGGACUGAGACACGGCCCAGACUCCUACGGGAGGCAGCAGUAGGGAAUCUUCCGCAAUGGACGAAAAGUCUGACGGAGCAACGCCGCGUGAGCGAAGAAGGCCUUCGGGUCGUAAAGCUCUGUUGUUAGGGGAAAAAACAUUUACCGCAGUCACUGGCGGUACUUGACGG
rnacentral:rRNA from 1 species